rnacentral:rRNA from 1 species
AUUGAACGCUGGCGGCAUGCCUUACACAUGCAAGUCGAACGGUAACAGGUUAAGCUGACGAGUGGCGAACGGGUGAGUAAUGCAUCGGAACGUGCCCGAUCGUGGGGGAUAACGCAGCGAAAGCUGCGCUAAUACCGCAUACGAUCUGAGGAUGAAAGCGGGGGACCGUAAGGCCUCGCGCGAUCGGAGCGGCCGAUGUCAGAUUAGGUAGUUGGGGGGGUAAAGGCCCACCAAGCCGACGAUCUGUAGCUGGUCUGAGAGGACGACCAGCCACACUGGGACUGAGACACGGCCCAGACUCCUACGGGAGGCAGCAGUGGGGAAUUUUGGACAAUGGGCGAAAGCCUGAUCCAGCAAUGCCGCGUGCAGGAAGAAGGCCUUCGGGUUGUAAACUGCUUUUGUACGGAGCGAAAAGGUCCUUUCUAAUACAAGGGGCUCAUGACGGUACCGUAAGAAUAAGCACCGGCUAACUACGUGCCAGCCGCCGCAGUAA